UACGUAGGGGGCAAGCGUUGUCCGGAAUCAUUGGGCGUAAAGCGCGUGUAGGCGGCUCGGUAAGUCUGCUGUGAAAGUCCAGGGCUCAACCCUGGGAUGCCGGUUGAUACUGUCGGGCUAGAGUCCGGAAGAGGCGAGUGGAAUUCCCGGUGUAGCGGUGAAAUGCGCAGAUAUCGGGAGGAACACCAAUGGCGAAGGCAGCUCGCUGGGACGGUACUGACGCUGAGACGCGAAAGCGUGGGGAGCAAACAGGG
rnacentral:rRNA from 1 species